rnacentral:lncRNA from 8 species
CAGCAACCAUCAAGUGCUUGGUAUUGUGCCUCCUUUUUAAGGCUAAGGGAAAUCUUUGUUGAGACAGCUGAAACGAAAGCUUGUCUUUUGUAUCCCAGCAAUGUUUUUCUAUUGUAGCUUACUGUAUCCAUUUCUGUGGUGUGUUUAGAGUGUUUCUUUUUCACUGUGUGCUGUGUUGUGUUUUGUGGGCAGGGUGUGGGGACCGCCUACAGGACAGUAGUGGAAACUUCUCCUCUCCUGGUUAUCCCAAUGGAUAUGCAGCCUAUGUCCACUGUAUCUGGAGGAUCUCUGUCACACCUGAAGAGAAAGACGUUACUGUGGGGACAGUCUACCUGGCCCCAUCGUUUCCACGGACUGUCGGCUAUGGAUAGAUUCCAGGAGCAGCAGCAACUGGGUGGGCAAGGGCUUCUCAGCCGUGUAUGAAGUUAACAUCAGCCGUUUCACCAUAGAACAUAUUGUCUAUAUAUUGUCUAAAUGUCCUUCUUUUAGUGUUUAAAAAGCCUUAGUUUUCUGCAACAUUCAAAUUACAUAAGCGCUAUAAACACUAAACACAAAACUCAUGUUUUGCCACUGUAUUCCCUUGAUUUAAAAAAAGAGGGAAGUUGAUAUUGUUGUUAGAAGAAUUCAUGGAAGGUGUACCCCCCCCCCCUUCCUCUCUCACCAGCCAUCUGUGG